UACGAGGGGGGCAAGCGUUGUUCGGAUUUAUUGGGCGUAAAGGGUGCGUAGGCGGUUUGGCAAGUCUUGUGUGAAAUCUUUGGGCUCAACCCAAAGCCUGCACAAGAAACUGCCGGGCUUGAGUAUGGGAGAGGUGAGUGGAAUUUCCGGUGUAGCGGUGAAAUGCGUAGGUAUCGGAAGGAACACCUGUGGCGAAAGCGGCUCACUGGACCAUUACUGACGCUGAGGCACGAAAGCUAGGGGAGCAAACAGG
rnacentral:rRNA from 1 species